rnacentral:tRNA from 1 species
GCCCGAGUGGCGGAAUGGUAGACGCAGGGGAUUCAAAAUCCCCCGCCUUCACGGGCGUGUGGGUUCGACUCCCACCUCGGGCA